rnacentral:rRNA from 1 species
CAGUCGCCGCGGUAAUACGUAGGUGGCAAGCGCUGCCCGGAAUUAUUGGGCGUAAAGGGCUCGCAGGCGGUUUCUUAAGUCUGAUGUGAAAGCCCCCGGCUCAACCGGGGAGGGUCAUUGGAAACUGGGAAACUUGAGUGCAGAAGAGGAGAGUGGAAUUCCACGUGUAGCGGUGAAAUGCGUAGAGAUGUGGAGGAACACCAGUGGCGAAGGCGACUCUCUGGUCUGUAACUGACGCUGAGGAGCGAAAGCGUGGGGAGCGAACAGGAUUAGAUACCCCAGUAGUCCCUGUCUCUUAUAC